ACCUCGGCGGGAUGGUGGAGCAGACAACCUCAAACGUCACAAGUACCUGUCGACACUGCACAUGUGUUCACUUACUUCAUCUGAUACAGAUUAUUAGUGCCUCUGUGGUCAAUGUCAUGGCAGAAAGCAGCAGCGAGCAUGGCAAAAGCUUCAAGGGAAAUGUGCAGGUUUAUGAUUGACAGCGCUCUGGACCUACCAUCAGCAAAGUGAACAUGGUCUGCCCCACAUUGAAUCCGUGCCGCC